GAUAUGUAUUUCUAACCAAGCAAGCAGUAUAAGUACACUCGUAUGCGACCCGGCUAUCAAAAAUACAUACAUAUGUAUAAAGCUGCCAAAUCGCACACUAUCGCCGUUAUAAGUAUGACAGCUAAGUACUGAAGAAAUUAAAGGGAAUAUAAAUUACAACUAUUUUACACGAUGAAGUAGCAUGCGGGUGCGCGUUGCGCACGCCAAGAAACGCGCGCACACAAUUACAUCAAGUUACGCAUCCACACGUAUACACACUGAUGCUCACACCGAUCGAGACAAUGCGUCAAAGCAGAGGCGGCAACAAACGAGAAUAUAUGCCGAAUAUAAUCUGCAGAAGAAAUGAAACAUCGGAUAGUUGAAACGACUCAAGAAUGGAUCCACCGAGAACACGAUACAAUUGCGUUCAUACGCGACGAGUUUCUCGCGAUAUCUUUCACGGACACGCGGGAAAAUCGUUCAACCGAUAUCUGGUAAAAUCGUAAAAUUACACCAACGAAAGUUCGAUCAUGGUUUCUGUUAUCAAACAGAACACUAUUAAGAAUCUAUGGGAGAGAAACUGAACGAAAGUAUCCGGCCGUGGUACUCGACUGUUCGAUUUCUGCACACCAAAUUCGAUAUCCCUAUCACAAACUUUUCCAGCUGAAUAACGAACGUCGUAAUCACGAAAAAUAUUAUUAAUGAUUCUAACAUCAACAUGAAUAUGUAGUAGAGUAUUUAUGAAUUUAUAAAACAGAGUUGUUAGACGUAUAUUCACCACAAUAUCGAGAUGCACGAUAGUAGGCGCGGCUUUUCACCCCGCAUAGAGAGAAACGAUUUCGUGUCAGUGAUUUGUCACCUACCUAUGUUAUUCGAGCGUGUCCUCUUCGUCAACGAUCCUCGUGCUAUCCACGAAUGAAACUCACGAUACCGAUUUAACACAGAAUCACGAACGAAUCGUGUUCUCGGCACUUUUCAGCUCGUGCUUGUCGCACGCCAACCGAGUCCGCCAUCUUGGGGCAACCGCCAAAUCCCCCCAGGCAGGACAAUACUUUCCCAUGAAAAGUCACUAGGAACUACUACAAAUUUUCCAUCUUUAUCUCGCUACUUCUCUCACCCUUAACCCUUGACAAGCCGAUUACAGUAUAAGUCGUUCUACUCCUUCUCGAUACGCUAGACUUUGCAAAUAUAUCUGUGUUUAUUGCGAUUAUUAGUGUGGUAUUUGUGCAAAUUCAUAUUUUAAUGAGUGAAAUGAAAUAAAAUGGGACCUGGAUAGAAAACAGUUUGACAGUCCUAUACUUUGGAUAUUUUACAUUUUGCA
rnacentral:misc_RNA from 1 species